UACAGAGGGGGCAAGCGUUGUUCGGAAUUACUGGGCGUAAAGGGCGCGUAGGCGGCCUGCUAAGUCGAACGUGAAAUCCCCGGGCUCAACCCGGGAACUGCGUCCGAUACUGGCAGGCUUGAAUUCGGGAGAGGGAUGCGGAAUUCCAGGUGUAGCGGUGAAAUGCGUAGAUAUCUGGAGGAACACCGGUGGCGAAGGCGGCAUCCUGGACCAACACUGACACUUAGGAGCGAAAGCCAGGGGAGCAAACAGG
rnacentral:rRNA from 1 species